GCAGAUUCUCAGCCCGCUCCCAUGCACCUGCAGCCAUCCCGCCUCACCCAGUAGCAGGGGACACCAGGCGGCUUUCCAGCAGGCGAUAGCAUUCUUCUGCAUUCUGUGCCCACGGGGCAGGUCCACAACCACAUCCACCUGGCUGUGGCAAGUGGCACAGGGCUUCUGGCCAGGCUGGAGCAGCUGAGCCCACAGAGCUCUGAGACCUAGGAGGUGCUACUCCACUCCAGGGCAGCUGGGUGCCAGACUCAACACCCACAAGCUCCUCAACCUCCGAUGGGAGAGAACAAGGAAGAAUGGCUGUAGCAAAACUCAAAUUUAAAAAAAUAAUUUACAAACUGGUCGUUGGCCAGUUGGCCUGCUUCCCCACACCAGCAGAGGCCACCCAUGGUGGGCAGGGGUGGGUGUCAGGUUGCAUCUUCCCUGAUCCUCCCUGCGUCACCAUCAGGAGACUCUGCUGCUGUCCAGACAAGGAAACGUCGCAACACCUCACAAUUGCUCCCAAGAAUCUUACCUUCAUCAUGAUGAAAUAAACUCUUCCUUUAUUUUA